UACAGUUUCACAAACAGUCCAAACUCCAAACUAAAGUACCCAACGCUGCAACUUGGGUAUAAUAUUAUCCAGAUGUAUAACAAUUUAUCGCUAUCCUCUCCUUUCACAUGUUCUAUUCAACUGGGAGAGUCAUAAGACUACUAAAUAAUACACACUGCAUACUUCUUUGAGCAGGCAAAUAUUAAGAAUAAGAAACUCAUGGAAAUUAGGUCAUGAAAAUUACUUCUUUUCCAACAUCUCGUUCUUCUUAUUAUUUUUUCAAUGUCUUCGCCAAGACCAAGAAUCCCGAUUCUUCUUCUUCUAAGGAACCUCCAAGGAUUACAUCAAAUAUCAAGCAGAAUUUGCAGUUUUUGAAGUUGUGGAAGGAGUACCAGUCAAACAAAUCCCGAGCACCUAAGCCUGCUACUAAAUAUCGUAAGAAGAAAGUGGACAAGGACGACCUUUUUGAUGAUGAAGAACUAUAUCGAGAUCCUACCAUGAACCUUUACUACACUCACCAGGGUUGGGACUUGGAGACUGUUGUUCCUGUCUUACUUGUUGAUGGUUACAAUGUAUGUGGUUAUUGGCCAAAGCUGAAGAAGUAUUUUAUGAGUGGAAGGCUGAAUAUCGCUCGCCAAAAGCUUGUUGAUGAGUUGGUUUCGUUCAGUAUGUUGAGAGAAGUAAAGGUGGUGGUGGUUUUUGAUGCCAUGAUGUCUGGACUCCCUUCUCACAAGGAAAAUUUUGCAGGGGUUGAUUUAGUAUUCUCAAGUGAGUCAUGUGCUGAUGCCUGGAUUGAGAAAGAGGUUGCAGCCUUGAGGGAGGACGGAUGCCCUAAGGUUUGGGUCGUGACAUCUGAUCAUUGCCAGCAGCAUGCAGCACAUGGAGCAGUAUGUGUUUUUCUUGUAGUCUCAAUCACCAAUGAUAACCUUUGAAUAAAUAAUUGUGGAUAUGAAAUCGGUUAUGCCCUUUUCUUAAAGAAGGAAAUGUCUCAUAAUCAUUCUUUUAUCCAUCAUGGUUAUGGAAAUACUACCAUAACUUGAUAAGUGCAUAUAUUAGAGGCUCAAUAUCAUAUUAUGCUUUAAGACUACCAGUUGAUGGAUUUCUCCAGCAUUGGUUUUUGUAUUUAUUUGCCAUUUCCAAGUUAUGCAUCUAGACAGUCAUAUGAAUGCAUAUAAACUCUGAUACCAUAAUUCCCAGGGUGCCUUCAUCUGGAGUUGCAAAGCGUUGAUUUCAGAGAUAAAGAGCUCGCAAAAGGAGUACGACAAGAUGCUUGAUGAGCAAAGGUCAAGUUCUAUGCAAGGGAAAUUGCUAAAGCAUAAUCUUGAGCCAGAAGUAGUUGAUGCUCU